rnacentral:rRNA from 1 species
UAUUCCCCACUGCUGCCUCCCGUAGGAGUCUGGUCCGUGUCUCAGUACCAGUGUGGGGGAUAAGCCUCUCAGCUCCCCUAGACAUCGUCGGCUUGGUGGGCCGUUGCCCCGCCAACUACCUAAUGUCACGCAUGCCCAUCCACUACCACCGAAGCUUUAGUUGCCUCCCCAUGCGGGAAAACAACACCAUGGGAUAUUAGUGGAAGUUUCCCUCCGUUAUCCCCCUGUAGUGGGUAGGUUGCAUACGCGUUACGCACCCGUGCGCCGGUCGCCGCCAAGGUAUUGCUACCUCGCGCUGCCCCUCGACUUGCAUGUGUUAAGCCUGCCGCCAGCGUUCAUCCUGAGCCAA